CUACGGGAGGCAGCAGCAAGGAAUAUUGCACAAUGGGCGAAACUUGACGCAGCCGACGCCGCGUGGGGGAUGAAGGCUCUCGGGUUGUAAACCCUUUUCUCAGGGAAGAAUAAUGACGGUACCUGAGGAAUAAGUCUCGGCUAACUACGUGCCAGCAGCCGCGGUAAUACGUAGGAGGGAAGCGUUAUCCGGAUUUAUUGGGCGUAAAGAGGGUGCAGGCGGCUCUUCAAGUCGGAUGUGAAAUCUCCCGGCUUAACUGGGAGAAGUCAUUCGAUACUGUUGGGCUAGAGGGCAGCAGAAGGAGGUGGAAUUCCCGGUGUAGUGGUGAAAUGCGUAGAUAUCGGGAGGAACACSAGUGGCGAAAGCGGCSUCSUAGGCUGUUUCUAACGCUGAGGCSCGAAAGCGUGGGGAGCGAACAGGAUUAGAUACCCUGGUAGUCCACGCCGUAAACSAUGGACACUAGGUAUGGGGAGUAUCGACSCUCUCUGUGCSGAAG
rnacentral:rRNA from 1 species